CGCGGGAGGCGGGUCGGCGCAGGGCGCUGGGGGCUGUCGCUGCCCCGGGGGUCGCGGUCGCCCUGGGGGUGACCCUACGGCUCCCGACGGAAAGGGGCAAGGAGGUAUUUUUUAAAAAGCCUUUUAUUUAUUCAUUUGAGAGAAAGACAGAGACAGCAAGAGCACAAGCAAAGGGAGCAGCUGGCAGAAGGAGAGGGAGAAGCAGACUCCCCACUGAUUUAGGAGCCCGAUUCCAGGAGUAGGACAUCAUGAUCUGAGCUGAAGGCAGAUGCUUAACCAGCUGACCCACCCAGGAUCUCUAUCUUCUAUAGGUUCUCUGGUGUUCCAGCACAAAGCCACCCCACUCAGUGACAUCCAGAAGUUUAUGUUGUGCUCAAUGACAUCCAAAGUACUUUACACUCAAUGGCAUCCAAAGUAUUUUGGUUCCCCAUCAGUACCCCAAAUCAGAUGAAGCCACGACUGGAUCCUCCAAACUUUCCAAGACAAGACACUGGCCUGGAGAGAGGCAAGGAUCUUUACUCGAGAGUCCCUUCCCAGGACUUCCUGGAGAUCCUGGCUUCAGAGGCAACA